CUUGAUGAGAAUGAUCUUAAAUAUGGUUUCACAGAUUGGCGCUGACUCACCUCCAGAAACAACUAUAGAAGAUGAAAACACCAAUAUCGUUUGCUUCUGGUGCAUUGUCCACCAGCUGGUGGAUGUGCGUCAACAGGUCUGCCCUGAUACCUGCCAUUGUGCCCACUGCCUGGAAGGCCACGGUCGAGGUUUUUUUCCUUUUCAGAUUGGGAGAUACUGGGCACGGAUGGGCAGAAGCCUUUGGAGACCAAAGAGAAGCAUCUUUAUAACAGGAGCUGACUGAUAAGGAGAUCAUUAGCUGAUGAGUGUUUCUCACCAUAGAUGGACCUUAUUGGAUUUAACCAGAUUCCUAUUGAUGUAUCAUGGCACAAUUUUUCAGCUAAAAGAAAUAGUACUUUAUUGCUAUUUUUUCAACUUUAAGGAAUUUCUCCUGAAAAGCUAACACCAUACAUAUGAUCUCUGUUUUAAAUAUGAUAUUCUUUUUCAUUUGUAGUGUUUGAAAUGUCCCAAGGUUCCAUAAUAUAGUUCUGUGUCUAAUCCCUCUAGAGUCUUCUUCAAAGUAUUUAUUACUCAGAGGCACAUACUUCAACUUAUACAUUUGCUGGCAAUAGUAAUUUUACAAUUGUCUCACAGUUUUCAUAUUUUAAAAAUGCAUAUCAGUGUAUGGACUGCCACACUAUCUAUUAAGGCUUUUUUAGAAAAAUUUUAGAAAAAUAUGUGAGUAUGCAAAAAGGUGUGUGUGUGUGCGCGUGCGUGCACGCCUGUGCGUGUCUGCUAAUCUAUGUCUGGUAGGUACAUGGGAGGUAGCUCUGUAUGGUUCUCUUUGAAUAUUUUACAAGAUUAUACUAUAUUACAACAAGCUGCACAUUAAACAAGAAAUUAAAAGGCUACAAUAGAUGUAUUUUCUUUCACACAGGUUAUAAAAUGAUAGUGGUAGGAUAUCUGAAAUUUGCAGCAACUCCUUGAGGAAGAGAAAAAUGUAAACUCUUCACUACCCAUUGUGCCUCACAGAGUCCCAGAAUAAGGCAAGGUUGUACAUUUUUUUGAUUUGUUAAAAGGCUAUGGAUUUUGUGCCUUAAAAUGAAAAUGUGGGACAAAUGAUACUAGUUAGCAUAUUAGAGACGCAGUACGGAUUUUCUACAUGGGUUAUUUGCUUGCCUCAGCAAAGAUAAUCAG
rnacentral:lncRNA from 1 species